rnacentral:tRNA from 1 species
AAUCGACGACCGCAGCUGCUCCAUGAGCUCCCACACGAAUUGCUUGAUUCAUUGAAGAAGACGAUAGAAGCAGCUUUAAGCUCCAAGCUGAUAGCUCACAGCUAACAGUUACAAGCUCGAAAUUGGGUCUGUAGCUCAGUUGGUUAGAGCGCACCCCUGAUAAGGGUGAGGUCGGCAGUUCGAAUCUGCCCAGACCCACCAAUUUUGUAAUGGGGCCAUAGCUCAGCUGGGAGAGCGCCUGCCUUGCACGCAGGAGGUCAGCGGUUCGAUCCCGCUUGGCUCCACCAUAAACUGCUUCUGAAAGCUUAGAAAUGAGCAUUCCACCAACACGGUGAUGAAUGUUGAUUUCUAGUCUUUUGAUUAGAUCGUUCUUUAAAAAUUUGGGUAUGUGAUAGAAAGAUAGACUGGACGUUACUUUCACUGGUAACGGAUCAGGCUAAGGUAAAAUUUGUGAGUUCUCUUAGUUGAGAAAUUCGAA